CCUACGGGAGACAGCAGUGGGGAAUAUUGCGCAAUGGGCGAAAGCCUGACGCAGCGACGCCGCGUGAGGGAUGAAGGUCUUCGGAUCGUUAACCUCUGUCAGCAGGGAAGAACGGUCACUGUGCUAAUCAGCAGUGAAUUGACGGUACCUGCAAAGGAAGCACCGGCUAACUCCGUGCCAGCAGCCGCGGUAAUACGGAGGGUGCGAGCGUUAAUCGGAAUUACUGGGCGUAAAGCGCUCGUAGGCGGUAUGUCAAGUCAAGGGUGAAAUCCCCGCGCUCAACGUGGGAACUGCCUUUGAAACUGGCAAACUGGAGUGGGUGAGAGAAUAGUGGAAUUCCAGGUGUAGGAGUGAAAUCCGUAGAGAUCUGGAGGAACAUCAGUGGCGAAGGCGACUAUCUGGCACAUAACUGACGCUGAGGAGCGAAAGCGUGGGUAGCAAACAGGAUUAGAUACCCCUGUAGUC
rnacentral:rRNA from 1 species